GGUUGUAGCUCAGUGGUAGAAUGCUCGCCUAGCAUGUGUGAGGUACUGGGUUGGAUCCUCAGCAACACA
rnacentral:tRNA from 1 species